CCUACGGGAGGCAGCAGUGGGGAAUUUUGGACAAUGGGGGCAACCCUGAUCCAGCCAUGCCGCGUGCGGGAAGAAGGCCUUCGGGUUGUAAACCGCUUUUAGCCGGGAAGAAAAGGCAGGGGCUAACACUCUCUGUUCUUGACGGUACCGGCGGAAUAAGCACCGGCUAACUACGUGCCAGCAGCCGCGGUAAUACGUAGGGUGCGAGCGUUAAUCGGAAUUACUGGGCGUAAAGCGUGCGCAGGCGGUUCGUUAAGUCUGAUGUGAAAGCCCCGGGCUCAACCUGGGAAUGGCAUUGGAUACUGGCGGGCUUGAGUGUGGCAGAGGGGGGUGGAAUUCCGCGUGUAGCAGUGAAAUGCGUAGAGAUGCGGAGGAACACCGAUGGCGAAGGCAGCCCCCUGGGCUGACACUGACGCUCAGGCACGAAAGCGUGGGGAGCAAACAGGAUUAGAUACCCUGGUAGUCCACGCCCUAAACGAUGAUCACUGGGUGUUCGGGGAGCGAUCUCUGGGUACCGUAGCUAACGCGUGAAGUGAUCCGCCUGGGGAGUACGGUCGCAAGAUUAAAACUCAAAUGAAUUGACGG
rnacentral:rRNA from 1 species